rnacentral:rRNA from 1 species
UGGGGAAUAUUGCACAAUGGGGGAAACCCUGAUGCAGCAACGCCGCGUGCGGGAUGACGGCCUUCGGGUUGUAAACCGCUUUCAGCCAUGACGAAGCUUUUGUGACGGUAGUGGCAGAAGAAGCACCGGCUAACUACGUGCCAGCAGCCGCGGUGAUACGUAGGGUGCGAGCGUUGUCCGGAAUUAUUGGGCGUAAAGAGCUUGUAGGCGGUUUGUCGCGUCGAAAGUGUAAACUCAGUGCUUAACGCUGAGCCUGCUUUCGAUACGGGCUGACUAGAGGAAGGGAGGGGAGAAUGGAAUUCCCGGUGGAGCGGUGGAAUGCGCAGAUAUCGGGAGGAACACCAGUGGCGAAGGCGGUUCUCUGGACCUUUCCUGACGCUGAGAAGCGAAAGCGUGGGUAGCAAACAGG